GGGGGUAUAGUUUAUUUGGUAGAACAUAUGUUUUGCAUGCAUAAAAAAUCAGUUCAAUUCUGGUUACCUCCA
rnacentral:tRNA from 1 species